AUUAAAUCAAAAAAACAAAUGACCCUAAAAUAUAUGCAAAGUAUUGCGAAUGUCCAAAACUAACUUAAGCAUAAAAUUAUUAAGAAAAAAUUGUAACUGAAUAAGAACCAAAAAUAUCAGUAAAGUAAUAGUAAUAAUAACAAUAUAUCAAUCUAAUAGAAAUAAGAUUAAACAGUAAUAAAGAAAUAAGAGUAAGAAUAAUAAUAAUAAUAAUAAUAAUAAUAAUAAUAAUAAACAAUUAAAAUAAUGUAAAGGAAUUAGAAGUGCAAAAGAGGAAACCGAUAAUAGUGGUCGGUGGUGGUCGCGACGGUUUAUGGUUACUGAACGGUGAGAGUCUGGUUGAGGAGAUAGGUGGUUGUGUGAGCGAGGGAAGAGAAGGGGUCAUGGGCUGCAGGGGUGAGUAAAGAGGGAGAGAGAAAAAUGAAAAAAAAAGGGAAGGGGAGUGGGGGUGUCGGUUGAUGGCGUCUCGUCGGAAAAUAGUG
rnacentral:lncRNA from 1 species